UUUUUUUUUGGUAUUUUUUUU
rnacentral:sRNA from 1 species